rnacentral:rRNA from 1 species
UACGGGGGGGGCAAGCGUUGUUCGGAAUUACUGGGCGUAAAGGGCGCGUAGGCGGCCUGCUAAGUCGAACGUGAAAUCCCCGGGCUUAACCCGGGAACUGCGUCCGAUACUGGUUGGCUUGAAUUCGGGAGAGGGAUGCGGAAUUCCAGGUGUAGCGGUGAAAUGCGUAGAUAUCUGGAGGAACACCGGUGGCGAAGGCGGCAUCCUGGACCGGCAUUGACGCUGAGGCGCGAAAGCCAGGGGAGCAAACGGG